rnacentral:tRNA from 1 species
GGGGUUGUGGCUCAGCAGUAGAGCCCUCGCCUAGCACGUGUGGGCACUAGGUUCGAUCCCCAACACCA